rnacentral:misc_RNA from 1 species
AUUCUCAACCUAACAAGUUCUUAACCGGACUUGCUUAGGCUUGGACUUGGAGGCUUGUCGGCUCUUAGCAGUCGGCUCCUCUCAAAUGCAUUARCUUGGUUCCUUGCGGAUCGGCUCACGGUGUGAUAAUUGUCUACGCCGCGACCGUUGAAGCGUUUAAUGGCCAGCUUCUAAUCGUCUCUUGCGAGACAGCAUUCAUCGAA